rnacentral:rRNA from 1 species
CCUACGGGAGGCAGCAGUGGGGAAUUUUCCGCAAUGGACGAAAGUCUGACGGAGCGACGCUGCGUGAAGGAUGACGGCCUGCGGGUUGUAAACUUCUUUUCUCGAAGAAGAAGCUCUGACGGUAUUCGAGGAAUAAGCAUCGGCUAACUCCGUGCCAGCAGCCGCGGUAAU